UUGAACAAUCAAUGCGGGAUUUCUGGGAAUUCCUUCGUGCUGAUAAAGACGAAAGCAGUCUGAUCUUACAGGGUCAUCAACAAACCCAUAUUAAUCUCCAAGACCUUGUAGAUUUAGAGCUGUUGACAGAUAUUCGAACCGAUUUUCAAAAGAAGGAUAAAAAGCUUAAAGACAUAUUGAGAAGUGGAAAUUGCAUAGUGAAGAGGUUCAAGA
rnacentral:misc_RNA from 1 species